rnacentral:rRNA from 1 species
GAUGAACGCUGGCGGCGUGCCUAAUACAUGCAAGUCGAACGCUGGAGAUCUAGCUUGCUAGAUCGAAGGAGUGGCGAACGGGUGAGUAAUACAUAAGCAACCUACCCACGAAGACUGGGAUAAUCUCUGGAAACGGGGACUAAUACCGGAUAGGUAAUCGGAAGGCAUCUUCUGGUUAUUAAAGGUUAAAAACACUGGUGGAUGGGCUUAUGGCGCAUUAGUUAGUUGGUGAGGUAACGGCCCACCAAGACGAUGAUGCGUAGCCGGCCUGAGAGGGUGAACGGCCACAUUGGGACUGAGACACGGCCCAGACUCCUACGGGAGGCAGCAGUAGGGAAUAUUCGGCAAUGGGGGCAACCUUGACCGAGCCACGCCGCGUGAGUGAAGACGGCCUUCGGGUUGUAAAGCUCUGUUGUAAGGGAAGAACGGUAGAUAGAGAAUAUCUAAGUGACGGUACCUUACCAGAAAGCCACGGCUAACUACGUG